GCAUAUCAAUAAGCGGAGGAAAAGAAACCAACCGGGAUUGCCUCCGUAACGGCGAGUGAAGCGGCAAGAGCUCAAAUUUGAAAUCUGGCCCCUUUGGGGCCCGAGUUGUAAUUUGCAGAGGAUGCUUCGGGUGCGGUCCCCAUCUAAGUGCCCUGGAACGGGCCGUCAUAGAGGGUGAGAAUCCCGUCUGGGAUGGGCGGCCGCGCCCGUGUGAAGCUCCUUCGACGAGUCGAGUUGUUUGGGAAUGCAGCUCUAAGCGGGUGGUAAAUUUCAUCUAAAGCUAAAUACUGGCCGGAGACCGAUAGCGCACAAGUAGAGUGAUCGAAAGAUGAAAAGCACUUUGAAAAGAGAGUUAAACAGCACGUGAAAUUGUUGAAAGGGAAGCGUUGUCCACCAGACUCGCCCGGGGGGGUUCAGCCGGCACUUGUGCCGGUGUACUCCUCCCCGGGCGGGCCAGCAUCGGUUUGGGCGGCUGGUGAAAGGCCCCGGGAAUGUAACACCCUUCGGGGUGCCUUAUAGCCCGGGGUGUCAUACGGCCAGCCUGGACCGAGGCCCGCGCUUCGGCGAGGAUGCUGGCGUAAUGGUGGUCAACGGCCCGUCUUGAAACACGGACCAAGGAGUCUAACAUCUAUGCGAGUGUUCGGGUGUCAAACCCGUCCGCGCAGUGAAAGCGAACGGAGGUGGGAGCCCCUCGGGGCGCACCAUCGACCGAUCCUGAUGUCUUCGGAUGGAUUUGAGUAAGAGCAUAGCUGUUGGGACCCGAAAGAUGGUGAACUAUGCCUGAAUAGGGCGAAGCCAGAGGAAACUCUGGUGGAGGCUCGCAGCGGUUCUGACGUGCAAAUCGAUCGUCAAAUUUGGGUAUAGGGGCGAAAGACUAAUCGAACCAUCUGGUAGCUGGUUCCUGCCGAA
rnacentral:rRNA from 1 species